rnacentral:rRNA from 1 species
UACGUAGGGUGCGAGCGUUGUCCGGAAUUAUUGGGCGUAAAGAGCUCGUAGGCGGUCUGUCGCGUCGAUCGUGAAAACUUGGGGCUUAACCCUGAGCUUGCGGUCGAUACGGGCAUGACUGGAGUUCGGCAGGGGAGACUGGAAUUCCUGGUGUAGCGGUGAAAUGCGCAGAUAUCAGGAGGAACACCGGUGGCGAAGGCGGCCACCUGGACGGUAACUGACGCUGAGACGCGAAAGCGUGGGGAGCAAACAGG